UACGGAGGGGGCAAGCGUUGUUCGGAAUUAUUGGGCGUAAAGCGUAUGUAGGCGGCUAAGUAAGUCAGGCGUGCAAGCCCGUGGCUCAACCACGGAAUUGCGUUUGAAACUACUUAGCUUGAGUACAGGAGAGGAAAGCGGAAUUCCCAGUGUAGCGGUGAAAUGCAUUGAUAUUGGGAAGAACAUCUGUGGCGAAGGCGGCUUUCUGGUCUGUUACUGACGCUGAGAUACGAAAGCCAGGGUAGCGAACGGG
rnacentral:rRNA from 1 species